AAAAAAAAAAAGCAGAUUUUAAAAAGAAAUCGUGCAAUCUAGAAACAUACUUUCCAUCUGUGUAUUGCGGCUGAAAUCCAAAAUAGGCCAGCUGGUCAUAGCACAGCUCACAUAUUCACGGUAUCUAUCCUCUGAAUAAGUCAUUUCAUCAUAAACAGUGGAAAGCAAAAAGUGGAGCCUUAGCUUCUCUGAUUUUCUCCCUGUAUUUGACACUCAAAGGACUGGCAGAGAUUUUAAAGAGGUAUUUGAAGCAGAUAUGGCCUUAUUUAAAAUAGAUCCAGAUUUCACAUAUGACAAAUGAAAGUGGUUUGGGACUGAGGGGUUUGAGUGCCAAAUAAAGGUAACGCACAAGUAUGAAUGUUUGCUAUUUCCCACUGUGGAAAGAAGAUGACUACAUUUGCAGUGAUGGAGGUUCAGAUGGGAAUGGCAGAGAACGUAUGGGUGAUGACAUCUUGGGAUGCUUUUUGAAAAAUUACCCAUUUUAGAAAAUCUGCUGCAUGAUAUGAGGAUGGAUAACUUUGGUUAUGCAAGAAGAAGCAAAGAUGUAUUAUCAACGUUAUGUUGCAAAAAGAAAGCAUGCAAAUCAAGGAAAAGUAAAAAUGAGAUAUUCUGAGAAGACCUGAAAUUAGC